AUGGAGCCGACCUUGAAAUACCACCCUUUAAUGUUUGAUGUUCUAACGUUGACCCGUAAUCCGGGUUGCGGACAGUGUCUGGUGGGUAGUUUGACUGGGGCGGUCUCCUCCUAAAGAGUAACGGAGGAGCACGAAGGUUGGCUAAUCCUGGUCGGACAUCAGGAGGUUAGUGCAAUGGCAUAAGCCAGCUUGACUGCGAGCGUGACGGCGCGAGCAGGUGCGAAAGCAGGUCAUAGUGAUCCGGUGGUUCUGAAUGGAAGGGCCAUCGCUCAACGGAUAAAAGGUACUCCGGGGAUAACAGGCUGAUACCGCCCAAGAGUUCAUAUCGACGGCGGUGUUUGGCACCUCGAUGUCGGCUCAUCACAUCCUGGGGCUGAAGUAGGUCCCAAGGGUAUGGCUGUUCGCCAUUUAAAGUGGUACGCGAGCUGGGUUUAGAACGUCGUGAGACAGUUCGGUCCCUAUCUGCCGUGGGCGCUGGAGAACUGAGGGGGGCUGCUC
rnacentral:rRNA from 1 species